CAGGGGAUACAGGCUAGCGGCGGACGGGUGAGUAACACGUGGGUAACCUGCCCAAGAGAUCGGGAUAACACCUGGAAACAGAUGCUAAUACCGGAUAACAACAGAUGAUGCCUAUCAACUGUUUAAAAGAUGGUUCUGCUAUCACUCUUGGAUGGACCUGCGGUGCAUUAGCUAGUUGGUAGGGUAACGGCCUACCAAGGCGAUGAUGCAUAGCCGAGUUGAGAGACUGAUCGGCCACAUUGGGACUGAGACACGGCCCAAACUCCUACGGGAGGCAGCAGUAGGGAAUCUUCCACAAUGGACGCAAGUCUGAUGGAGCAACGCCGCGUGAGUGAAGAAGGGUUUCGGCUCGUAAAGCUCUGUUGUUGGUGAAGAAGGACAGGGGUAGUAACUGACCUUUGUUUGACGGUAAUCAAUUAGAAAGUCACGGCUAACUACGUGCCAGCAGCCGCGGUAAUACGUA
rnacentral:rRNA from 1 species